CCUACGGGAGGCAGCAGUAGGGAAUGUUGCGCAAUGGGGGAAACCCUGACGCAGCAACACCGCGUGAAUGGUAAGGGCUUCGGGGUGUAAAGUUCUGUUAAUAGGGACGAAGGUUGACUGUACCUAUAAAGGAAGCACUGGCUAACUCCGUGCCAGCAGCCGCGGUAAUACGGGGGGUGCAAGCGUUGUCCGGAAUCAGUGGGCGUAAAGCGUUCGUAGGCGGUAUGUCAAGUCUGAUGUUAAAGCCCGGGGCUCAACUCCGGUUCGGCAUUGGAUACUGGCAAACUAGAAUGUGGUAGAGGUAAGGGGAAUUCCUGGUGUAGCGGUGAAAUGCGUAGAUAUCAGGAGGAACAUCGGUGGCGAAGGCGCUUUACUGGACCAUUAUUGACGCUGAGGAACGAAAGCCCGGGGAGCAAAUAGGAUUAGAUACCCUAGUAGUC
rnacentral:rRNA from 1 species